CCGUGGUAAUAAGGGGUUACACCCUGUACGUGGAUCUACAGUCCAUUGCCUGAUACUCGGCCAUAUUACC
rnacentral:tRNA from 1 species